GAUGAACGCUGGCGGCGUGCCUAAUACAUGCAAGUCGAACGAACAGACCAGGUGCUUGCUCCUCUGACGUUAGCGGCGGACGGGACAGUAACACGUGGAUAACCUACCUAUAAGACUGGGAUAACUUCGGGAAACCGGAGCUAAUACCGGAUAAUAUAUUGAACCUCGUGGUUCAAUAGUGAAAGACGGUUUUGCUGUCACUUAUAGAUGGCUCCGCGCCGCAUUAGCUGUUUGGUAAGGUAACGGCUUACCAAGGCAGCGAUGCGUAACCGACCUGAGAGGGGGAUCGGCCACACUGGAACUGAGACACGGUACAGACACCGACGGGAGGCACCGGUAGGGAAUCUUCCGCGAUGGGCGAAAGCUUGACGGAGCAACGCCGCGUGAGUGAUGAAGGUCUUCGGAUCGGAAAACUCUGUUAGUAGGGAAGAACAAAUGUGUAAGUAACUAUGCACGUCUUGACGGUACCUGAUCAGAAAGCCACGGCUAACUACGUG
rnacentral:rRNA from 1 species